rnacentral:rRNA from 1 species
AAACCAACAGGGAUUGCCCCAGUAACGGCGAGUGAGCGGCAAGAGCUCAAAUUUGAAAUCUGGCCUCCCCCGGGGGUCCGAGUUGUAAUUUGCAGAGGAUGCUUCGGGCGCGGCCCCCGUCUAAGUUCCUUGGAACAGGACGUCAGAGAGGGUGAGAAUCCCGUCUUGGGCGGGCGGCCCGCGCCCGUGUGAAGCUCCUUCGACGAGUCGAGUUGUUUGGGAAUGCAGCUCUAAGCGGGUGGUAAAUUUCAUCUAAAGCUAAAUACCGGCCGGAGACCGAUAGCGCACAAGUAGAGUGAUCGAAAGGUUAAAAGCACCUUGAAAAGGGAGUUAAACAGCACGUGAAAUUGUUGAAAGGGAAGCGCUUGCGGCCAGACUCGGGGGGCGGGGUUCAGCGGGCGCUCGUCGCCCGUGCACUGCCCGCUCCCCGGGCCAGCAUCAGCUUCGACGGCCGGUCAAAGGCCCCCGGAAUGUGUCGUCUCUAGGGACGUCUUAUAGCCGGGGGUGCAAUGCGGCCCGUCGAGACUGAGGAACGCGCUCCGGCUCGGAUGCUGGCGUAAUGGCCGUAAGCGGC